rnacentral:rRNA from 1 species
CGUAGGGUGCAGGCGUUAAUCGGAAUUACUGGGCGUAAAGCGUGCGCAGGCGGUUUCUUAAGUCAGAUGUGAAAGCCCCGGGCUUAACCUGGGAACUGCGUUUGAAACUGGGAGACUCGAGUGUGGCAGAGGGGGGUGGAAUUCCACGUGUAGCAGUGAAAUGCGUAGAUAUGUGGAGGAACACCGAUGGCGAAGGCAACCCCCCUGGGUUAACACUGACGCUCAUGCACGAAAGCGUGGGGAGCAAACAGGAUUAGAUACCCUGGUAGUCCACGCCCUAAACGAUGUCAACUGGUUGUUGGGUCUUCACUGACUCAGUAACGAAGCUAACGCGUGAAGUUGACCGCCUGGGGAGUACGGCCGCAAGGUUG